CGACCGGCCGUUAGAAGUGACUGUAUCACUUUGCGACAUUUUACGACAGUUGACAAAAUGUCUCUUACAUUUCCAGACAGACUGUCAAUAAACAUUAACAGAGUAAAGGAGACUGCUCUGAUCGAGACACGAGUGUUAUCCUGUUUAGUUCCCAAAGGAGAACUAAAGAAGUUCCGCAUAAUUUCAGAUCUGUCAGCCUUGUUUUCAGGAAUAGCCUUUCUAAAUCAUCGUUUCUAAAUACCAGAGCACACUCUAGUGGUCAUAGUUUAGACAGGUGGUCAAAACAAAACAAAAACAAGAAUCUGAACCAUAGACUAUAAAAUAGAUCUGAACACAUGACUUUUUCCACCACUGACUUUAUUACACAGCAAUAGUUGAUUGGUUCAGUUGCAAAAAAUAAGAUGGCAAUAUUACAUUUUUUGUGAUUAACUUUAGAAGUUGUCUGGCUUUCAUCAAAAAAGCUUUCCUUUUUAAGGCUAUUGAGGAUGAAGAUGGUGAUCCAGAGCACAUUCAGACUCAGUCUUCACCUGAAACACCGUCCCGUAAAGGUGGAAAAGCUAAAGGGAAAAAAGUGGAUUCAGACGCAGACGUCACAGGGGAGGAAGAUGCAUUUUCCAAGUUGAAGGUGGAGCAAACACAGAGCAGCUGAUUUAGAGGUGGUAAUGACGGCU